GGGGGUUAGCUUGGCAGCUGGGUUCUCUGUCUACGCGGAAGUGGGAAAAGUAUUGCGAUCUUCUCUACCCCGUGGCAAGGUCAUCUAAAUGAGUUGUGGGAAAUUCAAUGAAUAAAACAUUAUAUAUAAAUAGGGGCAAGACUCGAGCUGGGUGCUUACUUCUGAUCGUCGCAGACUGUGGUGGUUUCUAUCAUAGUAUUACAGGUUCAACCACAGUCUGCUGAGUUCUCUUUUGUUCUCUGCAGCCCCCAGGCACCCAAAGUAUGCCAGUUCCUUGUCAGUGCCCCGAAUCAGGUGAGAGACAAAGCAGUCCCUUAGCAUCCCCUCUCCCCCAAAAUCUAGA